GAGACAAAAUUGACUUUUGUGAGACAAAAUUGACUUUUGUGAGACAAAAUUGAAUAUUGAUUUUUGUCUCACAAAAUUGAGUUUUGUCUCUCAAAAGACAAUUUUGUCUCACAAAAGUCAAUUUUGUCUCAUGAAAGUC
rnacentral:sRNA from 1 species